GACGAACGCUGGCGGCGUGCCUAAUACAUGCCAGUAGAACGCUGAAGGAGGAGCUUGCUUCUCCGGAUGAGUUGCGAACGGGUGAGUAACGCGUAGGUAACCUGCCUGGUAGCGGGGGAUAACUAUUGGAAACGAUAGCUAAUACCGCAUAAGAGUAGAUGUCGCAUGACAUUUGCUUAAAAGUUGCAACUGCACCACUACCAGAUGGACCUGCGUUGUAUUAGCUAGUUGGUGAGGUAACGGCUCACCAAGGCAACGAUACAUAGCCGACCUGAGAGGGUGAUCGGCCACACUGGGACUGAGACACGGCCCAGACUCCUACGGGAGGCAGCAGUAGGGAAUCUUCGGCAAUGGACGGAAGGCUGACCGAGCAACGCCGCGUGAGUGAAGAAGGGUUUCGGAUCGUAAAGCUCUGUUGUAAGAGAAGAACGAGUGUGAGAGUGGAAAGUUCACACUGUGACGGUAUCUGACCAGAAAGGGACGGCUAACUACGUG
rnacentral:rRNA from 1 species